rnacentral:rRNA from 1 species
UACGGGAGGCAGCAGUGGGGAAUAUUGCACAAUGGGCGCAAGCCUGAUGCAGCCAUGCCGCGUGUAUGAAGAAGGCCUUCGGGUUGUAAAGUACUUUCAGUCGUGAGGAAGGUGUUAAGGUUAAUAACCUUAGCAAUUGACGUUAGCGACAGAAGAAGCACCGGCUAACUCCGUGCCAGCAGCCGCGGUAAUACGGAGGGUGCGAGCGUUAAUCGGAAUUACUGGGCGUAAAGGGCACGCAGGCGGUUAAUUAAGUUGGAUGUGAAAUCCCCGGGCUUAACCUGGGAAUGGCAUUCAAGACUGGUUAGCUAGAGUCUUGUAGAGGGGGUAGAAUUCCAUGUGUAGCGGUGAAAUGCGUAGAGAUGUGGAGGGAUACCGGGUGGCGAAGGCGGCCCCUGGGACAAAGACUGACGCUCAUGUGCGAAAGCGUGGGGAGCAAACAGGGAUUAGAUA